rnacentral:rRNA from 1 species
GACGAACGCUGGCGGCGUGCUUAACACAUGCAAGUCGAACGAAGUGGCGAACGGGUGAGUAACGCGUAAGCAACCUGCCCUUCAGAGGGGGACAACAGUUGGAAACGACUGCUAAUACCGAAUACUGAUGGCGGGGCUUGCGUCUGAUUAGCUAGUUGGAGGGGUAACGGCCUACCAAGGCGAUGUUCAGUAGCCGGUUUUGGGGGGUGGACGGCCAAAGUGUGGCAGGAACACGGCCCAAACUCCUACGGGAGGCAGCAGGGGGGAAUCUGCCGCAAUGGACGAAAGGCUGACGGAGCAACGCCGCGUGAGUGAUGACAGCCUUCGGGUUGUAAAGCUAUGUUAAUCGGGACGCGGUACCGGAAUAGAAAGCCACGGCUAACUACGUGCCAGCAGCCGCGGUAAUUC